CUCAGCUCCACGACGAUCUCGAGUCAGUCCUUUCUAAAAUCUGGCCAGAGAAAGUGUGGUGCGCUCUGUCUUCAAUUCCGUAUCUUUUAAAUAAUUCAUUAUGGCAGAUGAAGAAAAAGAAAAGGCGACUGAUAAAUGGUCGUUUUGGUUAGAACUAGCUAAGACUGUUCUUAUAUUUUUGGCUGUGUGCGGAUUUGGUGCGAUGUUAUUGGGUUAUAACGUCAGCACGUGCGUGUACGCCGCGGCGGGCAUGAAAAUGUGCUGGAUGGCUUCCCAGCAGCUGAUGAAGGCGUGACUCCCCGUCCACCUUUCCAACAAAGGCUGUACACCUUUUACAGUCUUUUCCAUCUACGCCAAAUGCGCCCCUGCCUCCAUCUCCCUCCCUCGCUGGGCUUCAAGAGCACCCACGGGCGGGAACCGACCACACGACGAAACCGAAAAGCUCACUGGACGCGGCGUCGCCAAGCGUGAGAACGGCGGACGCCAACGCUGGUAGAAAUAGGAUUCGGAAAAAAUGCGAAAGCUUUCAAGUAAAAGGAAACUAUUGUCUAAACAUCCCGUCGUGCCAGUAGAGCUCUGAUUAAACUUUCUCCUAUUUCUA